GAAGGACCCCGCCCAGCCUUCUCACGCAAAGCUUCAAGUGUUCGGCCCUGCCCCACCGUAACGCGAGGAAGGAAAUCUCGCAAGGCUGGAGUCCUUUUGGCGCCCCUGGCGGAGGCGGUUAGCAGAGGUGUCUCCCCCGCCGGUGGUGGGGCUAAACGCUACUGGCUUCACGGCCACACCUCCGCUGCCUCCGUCUGGUUCAGCGUCUGCUAACUGAGGAGGCAGAUUAGGGGCGCGGAGUCUCUUCCCUUGGGUGCAUAGGUCCCGGUUGGUAGAGGCUUUGAGUCCUCAUCGCCACAGCUGACGGCUGCGAGGGACUAAGAGCAGGAUAUAUCUUUAGAAAUGAGUUGCACAAUUGAGAAGGCACUUGCUGAUGCUAAAACUCUUGUUGAAAGAUUAAGAGAUCACGACGAUGCAGCAGAAACUCUGAUUGAGCAAACCACAGCUCUCAAUAAGCGAGUAGAAGCCACGAAGCAGUAUCAGAAAGAAAUUCAAGAGCUUAAUGAAGUCGCAAGAACAUCGGCCACGGUCCACGUUAGUUAUGGGAAUCCAGCAAGAAAACAGACAAAUCAGAGAAUUGCAACAAGAAAGAAAAGAAUUGCGUACAUCCCUGGAAGAACAUCAGUCGGCCUUGGAACUUACGAUGAGCAAGUAUCGAGAACAAAUGGUUAGAUUGCUAAUGGCUAGCAAAAAAGAUGAUCCGGGAAAAAUAAUGAAGUUAACAAAAGCAGCACUCCAAGGAUACAGGCACAUGUUGACCAGAUAAAUGAAAUAUGGCAGCAGUAAUGAAGAAAGCCAUUGAAAUUGACAAGCAACAGGAUUGCAAGGAACAAGAACUAAUAUUUCAACUUGAACAAGAAAACAAAGGCGUUAGAGAGAUCCUAUAAAUAACUCGAGAAUCACUUUUGAACCUAAGGAAAGAAGAUGUGUCGGAAAGUACUUCUUUGUCAGCAUUAGUGACCAACAGUGACUUGAGUCUGAGGAAGAGCUGAAGAGCUUCUGAGUCUGUGAGCUUCUUACAUGGCUCCCAGUGGUCAAAUAAGUGAAUGAAUGAAUGAACAGAAAAUUCAAUCCAUUAUUUUUUUCUCUUUAAAUAUGUACAGUGUACUGGCUAUGAGAUAGCAACAAAAACGCAUAGUUAAUGGUCAUAGACCUUUUUCCAAAACAUAAUUGGAAAAUAGAAACUGAGCCAUUGCCAACUGGUAAAGAAAUGAAAGGUUUUCACAGUGACUACUAAAUAUAGAACUUUUGGCAGUGCUGCUGGCUUUCUGGGUGAUUAAUUAGGUAAACUUGAAUAUUCCCAAUAAAUAUGUGAGAAUUCAUAAAAUUAUAUCAAUUUAAAAAUAUAAAGUUUUGCCACUGUUUUGUGAAUGGAAGAUUUGCAUGCUAAAUUUCAUCCUUAUUUGGCGUUAAAGUUAACACAAAGUUUAUGUACCAUGAGACUUCAGCUUUAGUGAUUACCUACUUUCACAUUUAUUUAAAUUUUUGUGAAAGAAAAUUCAGUUUUAAAGGCUAUAGGAAUGUGUUAUAUGUACCAUAAACAAAAAAGGUAAUUUUAGCAAUUUACCAUAACUGAUACUUAGCUAACAAUUGUCCAUAACUUGUUUAAGUAUAAGAAAUACCAUUUCAGGAAUGAAAAAGAAGGAAUACUACUUUCUAAGAAAGAAAAUCUUAUAAUAGACAUUUUAGUAGGUUAAACUUCUCCUUUGAAAGAAUAAGUUUUGGUUCGAAGUCAGUAAUGAAGAUGAGAUUUGUUUUUCUCUUCUCUGGCUGAUUUUUAAGGAUACUAUGUAGUUCAUUUAAUUAACAGAAUUGAAGUGUUUGAUAUGGCAAAAUAGGUAUGGUAAUUUCAAAGUGAAUUGGGAAUUCCUCUGGCUCAUAGAACUCUUUUAAAUUAAAAUUUCAAAAAAAAAUUCUGGAUCUGUUUUUAAACUCCAUCUGGUCCUCAUAACCUGUAAGAUUUUUCUUAAAACCUUUCAGCUGAAAGCGGGGGUAGAGGUGGGGUAAUCUGUGGAUUUAGAAGUAUUUGUUUUCUGUUGUCUUUUAAAAUGUCAAAUAUGCCGGGCGCGGUGGCUCACGCCUGUAAUCCCAGCACUUUGGGAGGCCGAGGCUGGUGGAUCACGAGGUCAGGAGUUUGAGACCAGCCUGGCCAACAUGGUGAAACCCCGUCCCUACUAAAAAUACAAAAAUUAGCUGGUCGUGGAGGCGUGUGCCUGUAAUCCCAGCUACUCGGGAGGCUGAGGCAGGAGAAUCGCUUGAACCCGGGAGGCGGAGGUUGCAGUGAGCUGAGAUCGUGCCAUUACACUCCAGCCUGGGCAACAGGGCAAGACUGCGUCUCAAAAAAUAUGUAUAUUUUAAAAAAAAGUCAAGUAUGUAGUAUGUAUAUUUUAAAAAAGCCACCAGUUAUGGAAAUGUGCUUUAACAUCAGUUGAAACCUAAAUUUUCUAAUGUUGUGAUUGUAGUAAAAAGGGAUAAAAGAAGAGUGUCAAACAUGAUGAAAUAUAUUAUACUCAUUUAUAUUGAAGGCAUAUUAAAGACAAAUAGAAAAUUCUACUUUGAGUAUAUAAUUUUUUAAAUAAAUAUUACUUUAUAUGGUAAUUUUUAUGUAUAAUUUCAUAUACUGGUGAAAUUCAAAACCACUUUACACUUCAGAAUUUUUCUAUCUUAAGUUUGGGCUGAGUGGGGUGGAUGAGACUGAUUGAAUAGAAAAGGGCUAAUGGCCCAAACAUUACAUGGAUUUCUUUUCUCAGUCAGAGGCCUUAUUUGAUAUUUUAUAAAUAAAUGACAGUUUUUAUUUUUAAACUUUUUUAUUGUUUUUGGGAAAGUAUCCCUUAAUUUAACGACACAUUCAUUCAGAUACUUUUUAUCCCUGGUAAGAAAGAAAGGAAAUAAGCUACACAAUUGAGAUUAAGUCUGAGGCAGUUCAUUGAGGCAGCUCUACUGUAAAAGAUUACUUGACAGAUAAUUAGUUUUGUAAACAAGUUGGGUUAACUUAUUCUUGGUCUUUUUGCUUGGAUAUGAAUUUAAGGUUUGAUUGUUAUUUAGUGACACUUUUCCAUCCUAUUUUUUUUUUUUGGUUGUUGUUAAACAGAACCUUAACUUUAUGUCUGAGGUAUGUACUGCAUGGGAACCUAUUUUAUUAUUAAAGAUGAGUGAUUAAAA